CAGAUGUUUGUAUCUACAUUUAUAUGAGAACCCAAAAGACAAAUUUUCAUCUCAACGCAUGAACAUUUUAUGUCAGGUCAGCUGGAGGAAAAACAGCACCAUUUCCUCGACUUCAUGCUGAAUGUUCACAAUCGAUUACAUGGUAUCUGAAAUGAGGAACUUUAACAUUGUAUCAUCUACGUUAUUGCAUAAGCACAAGGGGUGUGGUAGAUCUUCCAGAAGUUAUGGUAGAAGGCAUAUCCGACGAGGCCAUUUUAUUAUGUUUUGAUGAAUUCAUGGUAUGUCAGUAUAGUAUGGAACUCAGAAAGUUUUAUUUUUCCUAUUCACUAUGUUUUUAAGGGGAUUAAAGAAGCAGAGACACAGAUGCUUUGAGUCAUGAAGAUGAAGCACGAGGAAAGGUAGGGAGCUUGAGGCGUUUGGCUAAGUUGAAGAGUGAAAAACUGGAUGAAGAGUAUUCUGAAAAAACUCGUGCUUGCUGGAAACCGAAGGAAGAAGAAAAAAAGGUCGGAAAAGCUCAAGAUUUUGGAAAAUUUGCUUUGUGAUUACAACGUGAUGAAAAUGAGAAUGCAUGUGGAGAUUGAUGGGUUGUUAAGCAAAAUUGAAGCAUCCAAACAACUACUGAAUUUGUUCUGAUUUCUGGUGAUUUCAUGGGAGAAUGGGUGGAGACUUUCAAAUGUUGAAAAUGAAGAUCAUUUACCAAGGUGACAAUUUUCAUUCCUGUUCAUCGCAGUAGUUCGUAUGAUGAAUUCAUUGCAAGUGUAAUGCAGAGCAGGGAUCUAGAUUGCGCACCGAGCGAUAUGGUGAUUAGUUAUCUAAUGCAUUCAAGGGAAAAGGUGAAUCCUACAAUCAUAAAUAAUGAUGUACGUGUGCUAACGUACAUAAUGAAUGCCGAUGCAGAUGAGUUUAGGCCUAUUUUGAGGAUAAAUAUAGUUGAGAGGUCCUUUGAAGGACCGGUGAAUUCAUCACCACCCCCACCUCGGUGCCCGACAGUCGACGACGAUUUGAUCAAUGAUGAUUUAAAUGAUUACGAGAACUAUGACGAUCAUCCAAUUAAUAUGGAAGAUAAUUCUGUACAUAUGGAAGACUUUUCAUCAGACUCGCAAUAUAAUGAAAAAGACUGUGGAAUGGGAUCACAACCAGGACACUCGUUCACUGAUGGAACCAAUUUCUAUUGUGGUCAAACAUUCAUCGAUAAGAAAGAGCUGAAAAUGCUACUAAACACAACAGAGGUGAGGUAGUCUUUUGAUUAUUAUAUGGAGAAAAUCUGCACUAAAUUCAUGAAGGUGAAAUGCUUAUCUCGUGGUUGUGGUUGGUUGUUGCGGGCAAAAAAGUAUGACACCUUACAGAAGAAGCUUUCUUGGUAGGAUUGUUGUUAGAAGAAAUUUUCUUCAUUUUUUGCUUAUUUUGGUUGUUCUGGCUGUUGUGUCAAUGUUUCUCAUGUAAAAUUUCUAUGAUUGUGCAAUGAACAAAUUUUAAUAUAAGCAUUUCUAUUUUCAAA